rnacentral:tRNA from 1 species
GGGCUCUUAGCUCAGUUGGUUCAGAGCAUCUGGUUUACACCCAGAGGGUCGGGGGUUC